GACGAACGCUGGCGGCGUGCCUAAUACAUGCAAGUCGAGCGAAUCUUUAGGAGCUUGCUCCUGAAGGUUAGCGGCGGACGGGUGAGUAACACGUGGGCAACCUGCCUGUAAGACUGGGAUAACACCGGGAAACCGGUGCUAAUACCGGAUAAUUCUUUUUCUCACAUGAGGAAAAGCUGAAAGUCGGUUUCGGCUGACACUUACAGAUGGGCCCGCGGCGCAUUAGCUAGUUGGUGAGGUAACGGCUCACCAAGGCGACGAUGCGUAGCCGACCUGAGAGGGUGAUCGGCCACACUGGGACUGAGACACGGCCCAGACUCCUACGGGAGGCAGCAGUAGGGAAUCUUCCGCAAUGGACGAAAGUCUGACGGAGCAACGCCGCGUGAGUGAUGAAGGCCUUCGGGUCGUAAAACUCUGUUGUUAGGGAAGAACAAGUAUCGGAGUAACUGCCGGUACCUUGACGGUACCUAACCAGAAAGCCACGGCUAACUACGUGCCAGCCGCCGCCGUAAUAC
rnacentral:rRNA from 1 species